rnacentral:rRNA from 1 species
CCUACGGGUUGCAGCAGUGGGGAAUAUUGCACAAUGGGCGCAAGCCUGAUGCAGCCAUGCCGCGUGUGUGAAGAAGGCCUUCGGGUUGUAAAGCUCUUUCACCGGUGAAGAUAAUGACGGUAACCGGAGAAGAAGCCCCGGCUAACUUCGUGCCAGCAGCUGCGGUAAUACGAAGGGGGCUAGCGUUGUUCGGAAUUACUGGGCGUAAAGCGCGCGUAGGCGGAUAGAUAAGUCAGAGGUGAAAUCCCGGGGCUCAACCCCGGAAUUGCCUUUGAUACUGUUCAUCUUGAGUGCAGAAGAGGUAAGUGGAAUUCCGAGUGUAGAGGUGAAAUUCGUAGAUAUUCGGAGGAACACCAGUGGCGAAGGCGGCUUACUGGUCUGCAACUGACGCUGAGGCGCGAAAGCGUGGGGAGCAAACAGGAUUAGAUACCCCGGUAG